GGGUUGGUUACCGUUGAGCCACAAUGGGAACUCCUUGAAUUGUAUUUCUAUUGGACAGUGCUGCUCUAGACACCCCAGGCCGCGGGGCUGAGUGCUCAGUGCUGGGUGCUGAGUGACCGCUGCCCCUUCCCAGACACAGCCCCCCCACUCCCUUCAGGGGUGCCUCAUCCACUGGAGUUCCUCAGGCUCAGUCCCCGCAGGCAGGAGCGUUUUGGCUUGGGCAUGAGCUCUGAUUAGUUGCGGGGCUUCUGGAAUAAAAUCCUUUCCUUUUCCCCUAGGACAGUCUUUCAAAUAUUUAAGACAAGGAUCUCCCCUGCUCUCGGCCACGGACUUGCCGUCCCCUGUUCCUCAUGCAGCACGAUUGUGAGCUGGGGAAAACCCUGGAGGCAGGGGUCUCACGCAUCCUGGCUUCUACGGCAGCUCAGAGAGGGGAGGCGACCCACCCGAGCCCACACAGCGAGGGGUGCCAAGGUGCCCUCCACCAAACACAAGUACCAGGAGGAAAGGCUUAUUGCACAGCGCCCGGCACACACCAAGGCAGCGCAGUCCUGCUGAUUCUCUCUGCUUCCAAGUCCUUCCCUCAGACUGCAACUUCUGCCUCUCCUCCCUACCCAGCUCUUUCCUCUCCAUUGUGAAAAAAGAAUUGGGGCGUUCCCGUCAUGGCUGAGCGGAAACAAAUCUGACUAGUAUCCAAGAAG